rnacentral:rRNA from 1 species
AGAGGUGGCGAGCGUUGUUCGGAUUUAUUGGGCGUAAAGCGAACGCAGGUGGUUUGGUAAGUCAGAGGUGAAAGACCACAGCUUAACUGUGGCACUGCCUUUGAUACUGCCUUUCUAGAGUGCAUGAGGGGGAAGCGGAAUUCCGAGUGUAGAGGUGAAAUUCCUAGAUAUUCGGAGGAACACCGGUGGCGAAGGCGGCUUCCUGGCAUGUAACUGACACUCAUGUUCGAAAGCGUGGGUAGCAAACAGGAUUAGAUACCCUGGUAGUCCACGCCCUAAACGAUGGGCACUAGGUGUGGGAGGUAUCGACCCCUUCCGUGCCGCAGCUAACGCAUUAAGUGCCCCGCCUGGGGAGUACGGCCGCAAGGUUG